rnacentral:lncRNA from 1 species
AUGGCCUUUGCUGCGUCUUUGAAUCACUUCAGUUGUUGCCAUCAGGAGAAUGAGCCCUGGAAUGGGAAAAUCUGCAUUAGAGGAUUUCAUCCAUGGCACAUCCCCAACCUUGGAGUAUUUUCCCUGCUGGCUGUGAGAUCACUAUACAGGAAUACUAUAGAGGCAAGCUCCAAAAAUGUUAUGCAAUUUCAUAGGGUCAAGAUUUGGACCUGGAAAGGACCUCAAAGGUUAUCUAAGAAGAAUGGAAAUGUUUCAAUAAUGCAGGCUGUCUCCUUUGACUAUCAGUUAACCCUUCCAUUCGCUACUUGGCUUAACUGGGUCAAAUCUAGGCUUGCGCCAUUCUGUUUCAAAGUCCUUCAAACCUACCCCGAAUCAGUCUGCUCAAUUUAACUGCUUAUCUCUUCUCAGACUAAUGAUCUUCUUCCAAACCUCCUCCUGUCCUGGGGAAUAGUCUCCCCAGCCCUGGUCACCUGUUUCUUUUCCGUCAUUCACAUCCAUACAAAUGGCUCAGAUUUCUCUAGCUUGGAGACCAAAUUGGAUCACAGAAUUUGGAACUCAAAGGAUAUUUAGAGCUAAUCAAUCGGGUCCAGCCUUUUCAUUUCACAGAUGGGGAAGCCGGGACCUAGAGAAACCAAGUAGCUUGCUUAUAAUCACAAAGGUAGUAAAAUAGCAGGGUCAGGUCAUGAAACCAGGUCCUUUGACUUCAAAUUCAUUUUUAUUUCUACUCUGGUAAGUCACCUCUCAAUCAUCUUUAAGCAAAAGAGCCAUAUCACUGCUAGGAGCCCUACAGAAUCUGGUCAUACGUGAUAACUAUCUGUAUAUGAAAUAACCAUAAAUGGCUCAACCACUUUAGUUUGACGACCCUCGAUUCAAACAAUCCUAAAGUCCACCUUUUUCCAUAAAGUCUACCCUAAUUGCUGGGAGGAAAGGUGAUGGUUUCCCCCAAUUCCUUAUCAAACAAUCUCUUUGCUUCCUUGUGCCCCACUUGGCAUAGCGGAUACAAUAUUAAAAGUAGAGUCAGGAAGUCUUGGGUUUGAAUCCUGUCACUAAUCCUUACUAGCUGACUGACCUUGAAUAUAUUAUUUAACUUUGCCAAGGCUCAGUUUCCUAAUCUGUGAAAUGGGGAUAAGAAUAACACCUACGAUUCAUAUAAAUGGAUAGAAAGUCAAGUAAGCAGAACCAAGAAAACAACAUACACAACGACCACAAAAAUGUAGGUGGAAAGAACAACAUCACCACAAUCAAGAUGGAACGCUGUGAAAUUAUGAUGACCCAGCUUGGCCCCAAAGAAGAAAAAGGGGACUGUACCUUCCUCCCUUCUUUGCAGAGGUGGUGGACCACAGUUGUGGAAUGCUACAUCUCAUGUCAGACUUGGCUGAUCUUGGCUGGU